GCUGAGCAAGGGGCCACAGUCGGUGACUCCAGGAAACUGCCAGCAGGCGAGGCGGCCUUCCUCGGCCCCCGACGAGCAGCCAGAUGGAAUCCGUGGCAGAGGGCCCCGUCACGGGUGAGGGGGGGGGUCCCCCGAGAAGGAACUAAAGCCAGUUACUAGCAG